GUCAUGGGUUCAGCAGUAGCUCAUGCUCUGCCAGUGAGGAGGGAGAGAUAGGGUGCCUGGUCUGGGCUAGUCGGGGAGGUAUUCCAUACCACAGCACGUCCUGCUUGGGGAGGGGACUGGAAGCUGGCCGGGAGGGAAGGAGUUAACACGCCGGGCUGAGCUCGGGAAGGGAAGGGGAAGCUCGGGCUGGGGCUUCCGGCUGUGGGGUUCCGGCUGCUGGCCUCGUGGCAGCGGGUGGUAUCGUAUUCUCUCUCUCUGUUUGUCUCCUCUAACUUUGAUUUGUUAUUGGUACCGGUAGUUUACUUCUGUUAUACCUUGAUUGCUGGACUGAUUUUACCUCGAUCCGUGGGAGUUGUAUCCCUCCGGCUCUCCUUCCCAUCCCUCCGGGAGUGGGAAGGAGAGGGGAGGGAAGGGGAACAGAGGGGGAACUGUGCAGAUUUAGUUUAAACCGUUUUUAUCUCAAUCCGUGGGGGCUACAUUCUUUAGAUUCUUCUUCCUAACUCUCCGGGAGUAGGGAGACUUGAUUUAAACCACGACACAGUUCCAACCCCCUGCCAUGGGGCAGAGGGUUUGAGAUAAGAACAGAUCUGAGCGGAUUUAUAGUCAUUUGUCACAAUGCUGUUUUAUUGGCUCUCACAGUUUUUUCUCUUGCUCUCACGGUUUCAGGAUUUUACCAAUUACUUUUCAUAUAUACUAGCUGUGUUAGUGUUUAUCAAUCAUGGGAUUUGGGCUAAGGUUCUGGUCUCAUUGUACUUUAUGGUAAUGACUUGUAAUACAAUAGAAACAUUAAUCAUGAAACUGAUUUGGUUUAUGCUCCCGGUAUGGUCACCAACUUUAUAUUUUGGGAGGUAUAUAAUAGAAAUGCUUGGGAAUUUCACAUCUUUUUUCUCCUUCUCGGGUGGUCAACCUGUGAAGGAGACAUUCUGCUAUCCUCCCAGUGUUCUCUCCAGAUGGUCUGCAACAUCAUUUGAGGGUUUUGAAGUUUUUGAAUGGCCUUUCAAUACUGUUGAGACUUGUAUGCUGAUUGCGAUGGGGAUCGCCAUAUUAGCACGCAUACAGAGUGUGUUUUGCCCACAGUUAUUUCAUCUGAUUUCAAGAGUUAAGCGGAGUCAGGUCUGGUCCUGUGUUGGGGUUAAACGACGAAAUAGGAGGACCAGGAAAUCUUCCCAGAGGCUGGAUAGUCAUGAGUGGCAGGGUGUAUGGGAUAGUAUGGGCAAGCAUCUAGGUCAGUGGGCCCCUCCAGUACUUUGGAAUUUUACUCCUGAACAAGUGAAGAAUCCGGAAGAAUUAGUAAAACAGCUAAAUGAGGUGUGUUGUCGUCCUGGCCAUACCAGAGAUGGACAAAUUACAGCAACGUGCUGGGGCUUGGCCUAUGCUUAUAGGGCCUUGAUCGACAUUGUCCAACAUCUUCAAAAGGAAAAAAAUGCCCCUGGAUCUGAUAGCAACACAGAAGUCAGCGCAGCUGUUCCAAUUCCAAGUACAGCAGCUACACCAUCCCCAGUAGUAAGUACAGUUGCUACCCAAACUGCUACCCCAGCAACAAGUACAGCAGCUACUCAAACCUCGACUGCGAUAGACAGUGCAGCUGAACUACAGGACCAAUUCGUACCAAUAUCGGUUGCUCCUGUACACAAGAGAAAAACCAAAAGAGAGGCAAGAAGGACGAGGCAGGAUGAAGAAACUACGCAUCCACUACCUGGUCUAGUAUCUGAUCAGGGGUCAUCAUCACACGACGAAGAAGAAGAGGUGACUUCUCGAUCUCGGACCUCAACUGAGCUGCGGAAUAUGCGAAAAGAUUUCACCCGUCAGCCAGGGGAGCACAUCAUCACCUGGUUGCUCCGAUGUUGGGAUAGUGGGGCCGAUGGUCACGAACUAGCAGGUACAGAAGCCAAGCAGCUGGGGUCACUUGCUAAAGAAGGGGGAAUUGACAAAGCAAUUGCAAGAGAGAAAAAGUCCCUCAGUCUUUGGAGGCGGCUUUUGGCAGCUGUGAAAGAAAGGUUUCCAUACAAGGAUGAUGUUAUGAGUCGUUCGGCCAAGUGGAAUACUAUAGACAAAGGCAUCCAGUCCCUGAGGGAAUCAGC
rnacentral:lncRNA from 14 species